rnacentral:rRNA from 1 species
UACGAAGGGGGGCUAGCGUUGCUCGGAAUCACUGGGCGUAAAGCGCACGUAGGCGGCUUUUUAAGUCAGGGGUGAAAUCCUGGAGCUCAACUCCAGAACUGCCUUUGAUACUGAGAAGCUUGAGUCCGGGAGAGGUGAGUGGAACUGCGAGUGUAGAGGUGAAAUUCGUAGAUAUUCGCAAGAACACCAGUGGCGAAGGCGGCUCACUGGCCCGGUACUGACGCUGAGGUGCGAAAGCGUGGGGAGCAAACAG